UACGUAGGGUGCAAGCGUUAAUCGGAAUUACUGGGCGUAAAGCGUGCGCAGGCGGUCUUGCAAGACAGAUGUGAAAUCCCCGGGCUUAACCUGGGAACUGCAUUUGUGACUGCAAGGCUGGAGUGCGGCAGAGGGGGAUGGAAUUCCGCGUGUAGCAGUGAAAUGCGUAGAUAUGCGGAGGAACACCGAUGGCGGAGGCAAUCCCCUGGGCCUGCACUGACGCUCAUGCACGAAAGCGUGGGGAGCAAACAGG
rnacentral:rRNA from 1 species